CGCGUUGGGAGCUCUCCCAUAUGGUCGACCUGCAGGCGGCCGCGAAUUCACUAGUGAUUCGUAUUACCGCGGCUGCUGGCACGAAGUUGGCCGGGGCUCUUUCUGCGGAUACCGUCAUUAUCGUCUCCGCUAAAAGAGCUUUACAACCCUAAGGCCUUCAUCACUCACGCGGCAUGGCUGGAUCAGGCUUGCGCCCAUUGUCCAAUAUUCCCCACUGCUGCCUCCCGUAGGAGUUUGGGCCGUGUCUCAGUCCCAAUGUGGCUGAUCAUCCUCUCAGACCAGCUAAAGAUCGUAGCCUUGGUGAGCCGUUACCUCACCAACAAGCUAAUCUUACGCGGGCCGAUCUUCCGGCGAUAAAUCUUUCCCCCGAAGGGCUUAUUCGGUAUUAGCUCAAGUUUCCCUGAGUUAUUCCGAACCAGAAGGCACGUUCCCACGUGUUACUCACCCGUCUGCCGCUCCGUAUUGCUACGGCGCUCGACUUGCAUGUGUUAAGCCUGCCGCCAGCGUUCGCUCUGAGCCAUGAUCAAACUCUAAUCGAAUUCCCGCGGCCGCCAUGGCGGCCGGGAGCAUGCGAC
rnacentral:rRNA from 1 species